UCUCCCUUCUUGAGUGUUUCUUUUGCUAGACGGUGGGCUUCUGUGUUUUCUUACCUCGGGAUAAAAUAAAAUCUAAUUUCUUGAUAGUGAUCCUUUAAGCUUUGAAUAUCAUUGAUUAUUGCCCCUAUUUCUGAUAUGUCUCGACUUGUAUUUUGGCAUUUUGUAAUCACUGUUCUUGAGUCUCCGAUUAUAUCUAAAGUAUGAUAGCCCAACUGAAUCCCUAACCUUAUUGCUUGAAAACCUGCAAAUGCUUCCGCCGUGAAUGGAGAUGCAAUAUUUUCAUGAAGGGUCAACUUUACUGCAACGAUCCUACGCUCCUCAUUUCUAACAACUAGGCCUGACGCAGAUCUGGAAUUCUAUUAACCAGAGCCCGCAACAGAAACCCAUGCAUUGUUCGUUUGUCCCUUGGCUGAAAACCCAAGGCACAGAUGGAAAACAUGGAAACUAUCUUCUCCUUCCUGACCGCAUCUCGAACAUCGAUCCUCAGCCAUCACUUUUCGCAGCUUCAGAUUGGAGAAAAUGGGAAUGUAAUUCCACGCUAUUUUUCAUACUGUAAUCUUAAUUUUUAAGGGCAUAUGUAAAUUCCAUAGUUUUCUGUAGAAAUUUUUAGUAUCGGUCUGUAAAUAAACACUAGGAUCAAUUAUAGCUUUCUGUAAUAGUUUAUAGGCACUCCUUACUGAAAAGUCACCAGUUGCCUCCCCUCUCCAUACUUGGAUGUCUUUAUGGAUUAACUUUGAAAGCGGAAUCUGUAGUAUUUUCCUAGUGAUAUCCGAGUUAAAGUCAUUCUCGGCACCCAUAGAUCAUUCCAUACUGAAAUGUGGUCUCCUUUACCAACUCUUUAGCAUAAUCCAUCUGUGAGGAGUUUUUUUGUUGACCAAAUACUCCUCCAGGUAAGUGAAGGUAAGUUACUCAAAGAAGCAUUUAAGAAGUUUGUUGUUGAAAAAUAUUUCGCUUUUAAAACUCGGGCUAAUAAAGAACUCGGAUAAUUAAAAAGACGCCAACCUUGUUUUGCCAGCAAAGCUAUGUUAAAUUUAUCAAGACUUCUAAAACCUAACCCACCCAAUUCUUUUUCAAUGCAAAUAUCCUUCCAAGCACACCAAUGGAUCCCUUUUUUCCCCUUAUUUUUCUGCCACCAAUAUUUUGCAAUAAUACCAUCUAAUUCCUUGCAAAAAGAUUUAGGGAGUAAAAAACACGUCAUUGAGUAGGUUGG